UAAUACGGAGGAUGCGAGCGUUAUCCGGAUUUAUUGGGUUUAAAGGGUGCGUAGGCGGAUCAAUAAGUCAGUGGUGAAAUUCUGCAGCUUAACUGUAGACUUGCCAUUGAUACUGUUGGUCUUGAGUAUGGUCAAGGUAGGCGGAAUGUGUAAUGUAGCGGUGAAAUGCUUAGAUAUUACACAGAACACCGAUUGCGAAGGCAGCUUGCUGGGCCAAUACUGACGCUGAUGCACGAAAGCGUGGGGAUCGAACAGG
rnacentral:rRNA from 1 species